AAGUCGGAAUUGCUAGUAAUCGCGGAUCAGCAUGCCGCGGUGAAUACGUUCCCGGGCCCUUGUACACACCGCCCGUCACACCAUGGGAGCCGGUAAUACCCGAAGUCAGUAGUCCAACCUCGUGAGGACGCUGCCGAAGGUAGGAUUGGCGACUGGGGUGAAGUCGUAACAAGGUAUC
rnacentral:rRNA from 1 species